CCCAGAGAAAGGAAACAUAUGGGAAUAUUUAGCAAGAGAAAUACUCAACACCACUAACUUUUGCUUAGCAGGAGGGAAAUCAUAAUGUCACUGGGUGCAGCUCACCUAGGGUCACAGAAUGCACCAGUCUUAGCAACACAGAACUAAAAUGCAACUAUACAGAGACCAUAUCAUUUUCAUAUAGUUACCUGAAGUUCCCACCAGGAUGGUUUUUCCUUUGUGGCUUAAAAGCCUACUCAUACCAUCCUGCAAAUGCCACAAAUGGCCCCUGCACCUUGGGAAGGUUAACCAUGCUUAUGCCAUCCUUACAGAGACGACACAGGAGAGCCUUCCAAACCCUAGACUCAGACUGUGAUUCCAAAGUCUCCCUUCCCACAAAAACAGAAUACAUCUCAUUGGCAAUAUCCCUGGUAGGGGUACCUGGAUUGGCAGUGCGAAAUUCUAAAAAUUUGAAUAGACUAGCAUGUACCCUGGCAAAAAGCUUGAAUUCGACCUCCCAUGCCCUGGAUGCCCUUAACAGAGAACUGAGGGAGGUCAGAGAAGCCACCUUGGAGAAUAGGGCAGCAAUAGACUUCCUUCUCUUGAAGCAUAACUAUGGCUGCGAAACAUUCAAAGGGAUGUGUUGCUUCAAUCUGAACGAAACCUCAGAACUCGUAGGGAGGGACAUCCACCACCUGAAAGAGCUAUCUCAGAAUAUUGGUCAGGAGCAAUCAUUCCUGGACUUUUCAUGGCUCUUCUCAUGGAUGCCAGAUUUCCAUUGGCUCAAAAUCCUUAUAACAACCACAGUCACCAUUUGUGUCUUUGGAGCCCUCAUGUGUUGCCUCUGUCGAUGCAUACCGCCCUGCCUUAGCUGCCUAAAGGCCUGUAUUCCCUCUCAGAAGAGAAAAUUAAAGGGGAGACAGGCAGCCAUGAUAAUGAUCCAGAUUGAUCACAAUACCAAGUAUACCCAGACAUUCAAUCAGAGACCACACUCUUAAAAAAAAAAAAAAAAAGGAAGGAUUGUGGAAAGGGAACUUCAUGAGGACAG
rnacentral:lncRNA from 1 species